GGGUGAUAGGGCAGUUUGGUACCACCAUAAAACUGUGGGGCCAAGCCCUCAGCCAUGGGAAAGAGCAAAUUUCUACCUCGUAUUAGCCAAUCAAAAUCUGGCAUUUUUACGUGAAGUAUGAUAAAACCAAAAAAAAUAUGAGUGUCUGAAUGGUGGUCCAGUCCUUCUUUCUGUAUUCUAUAAUAUUUUAGUCCAUUUCCCUACUCUUUUGAUAUGGAUUAUUGUAUUUAAUAUUAACUUUUCUUUACAUUUUAGCAACACUUGCUUCCUAAUUAUUUCUUACUUUUUUCCCAAUUUUUUUCUUUAUUUUUUUACCCUAUAUUCUGCACCAAGUCCAUUUUACCUAUAAUUCUCUUUUCUGUAGUUCUCAUCCACAUCCUCAUACAUGUACAUGCCCUUGAACGACUAACAUAUGACAUAUAUUUAUAAGGUAAAUUUUACAUGUAUAUAUACAUAUAAAAAGAUGUGGUAUGAUUGCCAAAGAGACAACUCUCCACAAAAUAUUAAAAUGACACAGAAAUUAACAACUAUAGGUAGGUAACCAUAUGGCCUUCAACAAUAAGCAAAGCCCAUACAGCAUACUAAGCUUUUAAAGGCCCCGAAAUAACAAUGUACAUUUAACUUUCUGGUCAAAUUUUAAUUCAAGCU
rnacentral:lncRNA from 1 species